rnacentral:tRNA from 1 species
GGCCGUUUCGUCAGCGUAUACGGCUGCUUCUAGUGCAGCUGUAGUUGCUUCGACCGCUGCUUCCAAUGCAGUUGCGGCCGCC